rnacentral:rRNA from 1 species
AGGGUUUGAUCAUGGCUCAGGACGAACGCUGGCGGUGCGCCUUAUGCAUGCAAGUUGAGCGAAGCUUUUUUGUAGUUUACUACGAAAAAUGACUGAGCGGCGAACGGGUGAGUAACGCGUGAGCAAUCUACCUUAGUUACUGGGAUAGCCCGAGGAAACUCGGAUUAAUACCGGAUAUUCUUAUUUUUUCACAUGAAGUUUUAAGGAAAGGUCAGCCGAACUAAGAUGAGCUCGCGUUCUAUCAGCUAGUUGGUAGGGUAAAAGCCUACCAAGGCUACGACGGAUAGCUGGUCUGAGAGGACGAUCAGCCACACUGGGACUGAGACACGGCCCAGACUCCUACGGGAGGCUGCAGCAGGGAAUAUUGUGCAAUGAGCGAAAGCUUGACACAGCGACACCGCGUGUGGGAUGACGGUUCUAGGAUUGUAAACCACUUUCAGGAGGGAAGAAAAUGACGGUACCUCCACAAGAAGACCCGGCCAACUAUGUGCCAGCAGCCGCGGUAAUACA